UGGAGGCAGACGGAAGGCGGUGGCCGAAGAGCCGCGCCCCUUGUCGAGCGCAUGCUGUGCGCUCCGCGCCUGUCUUUCCCGCCGCCGCCGCCGCCUGCCUGCCAGGCUCACAGUGCAUCUCAGAUUGGACUGGCUACAAUUCAAGAGCUCAGAGGCAGAAGAGAAUUCCACAUCAAGUAGUGGACAGGGGUCAUCAAUACUUCUUAAUCAGCCCCAGCAUGCCCGGUACCGGUGCUCGGCCCUGGGGAUAUAACAGUGACUGUGCCAGAUGGGACAUCUGCCCUCACAGAAGUCACAGUCAACCUGUGAGAAUGGGCUUAAGAGGGCAACUCCAACAUUGAUGAGGUGCACAACCUUGGGUAAGUUAUUUAAUCUCUCUGAGCUUCAUUCUCCCCAUCCAUGAAAUGGUGGUGAUUAUAAUACUUCAUGAUGGCACUGGGAAAAAUAAAGGAAUUCACCCACCUUCAGAACCUUUGGAACAUGAGGCAUGAAGUGCUUAUUAAAUUUGAUUCUUGUUUUUUUUUGUUGUUGUUUUUAAGAUUUUAUUUAUUCAUGAAAGACAGAGAGGAGUAGAGGCAUAAGCAGAGGAAAAAGCAGGCUUCCUGCAGGGAGCCCGAUGUGGGGCUGAAUCCCAGGACACUGGGAUCACAACCUGAGCCAAAGGUGGAUGCUCAACCACUGAGCCACCCAGGCGCCCCUAAAUUUGAUUUUUGUUAAUAGUGAUCAGAAAUUGCACAAUUGCAAUAAUUAUAAACUAACAAAAUAGUAACAGUCUGUGGAGAUUCAGAGUGCCAGCAACACAUGUAGCAGGAGAACCUGACCUCAUUUUGGAAUGGCCAGGAAGGCUUCCCAAAUCAGUGGGGUUGCCACUAAGGCAGGAAGGGUAAGUCACCAGACGAAGGAGGGGAGGGCAGAAUGUUUCAAGCAGAAAGAACAGGAAGUGCAAAGGCUCUGAGGCAGGCAGGAGCCUGGCACACUUAGGAACUGAGGAAAGGCCAGUGGUGGAGAUGGGCAGGAGAGGAGACUCAUGGGACUGGAAGGGGCAAAUCACACAGGGCCUGGAGGGCCAUGGCGAUUGAAACUCAGUCUUAAGAGCAAGAGAGGUGACUUGUCCAAGAGCAUAUGUGUAGUAAGGACAGUCAGGAUUGUAACCCAGGUCUGUUUAGUCUCCGAGAUCUUUAUUUUCUUGGUCUGAAUUUGAAAUAGGAAGUUCUUGGAUUUCAGGUGGGAGGUGGUUGUUUUGUUUUGUUUUUGGCAAGAAGCAUAGUUUUAGUUCUUAGGGGUUGGAAUCCGAGUACACUCCAGUCAUCAAAAUUCUAGGUGUUCUUGCUCUCCCUCUAAGGGCCUGUGAGGUCAGGAGACACAGAGACAACUUGGCCUGCAUUCCCACUCUUGAGCACAUCACUCCCCAAGGGAGAGGAAGACAUGUAGACACAUAAAUCCAGCCAGGGUGACAUGGGAUAGGCACAGAGCACCGUCUCUCAUGGAGGGCAUUGUCCAAUCUGGAAUACAGCGGGAUCAGGUGGGAGGUAGAGCUGCUCGACAUAGGGGCCCAGAGGAGCGCAGGCUCGGAUUUGUCCCAGGGGAUCUGUUAGGAACCAGGAGCCAUCAGGAGUGCUGGAUGCAGAUUGUGAGGUAGGACUAGCGAGAUGUCUGUCUCCGGUUUCAAAGGGCCCUGGAAAGUCAGGCAGAGAUGCUGGGAUUUUAUCCUAUAGACCAGGAGCUGGCAAAUUACAGCUCGAUUCAGCCCAUACCUGUUUUUGUACAACCCAUUAGUGAGAAUGAGGUUUGCUCUUUUUUUCUUUUGAAGAGUGUGUGAGGGGCACCUGGAUGGCUCAGCGGUUGAACCUCUGCCUUUGGCUCAGGUCAUGAUCCUGGGGUCCUGGGGUUCGAGUCCCAUAUCAGGCUCCUGCUGAGGAGCCUGCUUCUCCCUCUGCCUGUGUGUCUCUGCCUCUCUCUCGGUGUCUCUCAUGAAUAAAUAAAGUCUUAAAAAAAAAAAAAAAAGGAAGAGAGUGUACGAGUGCAGGUGCAUGAGGGGGCAGAGAGGGGCAGAGGGAGAAGGAGAGAUAGUCUCAAACAGGCUCCAUGUCUGGUGUGAAGCCCAUUGGGCCUGAUCUCACAACCCCUGAGAUCAUGAUGUGAGCUGAAACCAAAAGUCAGGUGCUUAACUGAGCCACCCAGGUGCUCCUGGUGUUUACAUUUUUUUUUUUGGUGUUUACAUUUUUAAGUGGUUGAAAAAAUAACAAAAGAAGGGUGCCUGGCUGGCUCAGGAGGUGGAACACAGGACUCUUGAUCUCAGGGUCGUGAGUGCAAACCCCACGUUGGGUGUGGAGCCUACUUCAAAACAAAAGCAAAAGCAAAAGCAGAAUAGCAUCAUGUGACAUGAGAAAGUUAUAGUUUAGGUGUCCUGUCAAGUUUGAUAGUGACACAGCGUCAUCUGUUGUCUGCAUAUGGCCCAUGGCUGCAUUCUGGCCACAGCAGCAGAGGCAGAUUGCUCGGGCAGGGCCUGCUUCAUGGCUGUGCACGCUGUGUAGUCUCACCAAGCCUUGCACUUCUGUCACCAUUUUGAAAUUCUUAAUAAUCUAUGAAUGAAGUCCCCCUCAUUUUUUAUCUUGCAUUGGGCCCUGAAAAUUAUGUAGCUGGUCCUGGUGAGUAGAGGCCAUAUGGCCCACAAGGCCUACAGUAUUUACCAUCAGGCCUUUUCCAGAAAAAGUACGUGAGUCCUCUUAUAGGGGACAGAACAGCAGCCCCUCCAAACUGUCCAUGUCCUAAUCUCCUAGCAUCUAUGAGUCUGAGACCUUACCUGGCAAAGGGGACUUUGCACAGAGUAUUCAGUUAAGGAUCUGGAGGAAGGAGGAUUGUCAUGGACGAUCCUCAUGGGACGUGUAAUCACAAGGUUCUUGUAACGGGGGCAGGAGGUCCAGAGUUGGAGAAGAUGUGAAAGAGGUGAUCCCAUUGCUGGCUUUGCAGAUGGAGGAGGAGCCGUGAGCCAUGGAAUGCAGAAAGCCUCUGGAGGCUAAAAAAGGCCUGGAAACAGAUUUCCUCCUAGCACUUCCAGAAGGCCUGCAGCCCUGCUGACACCUGACCUCUAGGGCCGUAAGAGCAUCGAUGUAUGGUGUUUCAGGCCACCAAGGGGGUGGUCAUUUGUCACAGUGGCCUCGAGGAACUAACAUACCUGCUGUGGGUAAUGAGCACGUAAAAGAAUUUGUCUUGAACCCAAAGAGAAUUUUAGAUGAGAGACUGAUUUUGCGUAUUUACUUACUUAUUUAUUUAUUUACUUGCUUGAAGGAAGAGAACCAGAGGCAAAGGUGGUGUACACACUUCAAAGGAUGGAGGCAUAUCGGCAGGAGGCUGUGAAGACAACCCGGGGCAGGGGAUAGGGUCUGAAAAUGGAGAGGAGGAGUCCAGAUGUGUAUGAGGUGGGAUAGUAGGAACGGGUGACCAGUCAGAUGUGGAAAAGGAGGUGCCCUGAUUUGUUAGACCCAGUAACGGAGGUGGAGGAGGGGGGAACGGCGUGGCAUUUGAACCAUUUCCAGGGCUCUGAAUAUGGGUGGGGGCUCUUCUGGGGGACACAAGAAAUGGGCUUCACUGUCAGGUGAGCCGUUUGCUGGCCAGCUCCCAAACAGAGCUGAGGCAUCAAAGCAGACGCUCAUUAUGAGGGCAGAAGCUGGGCGGGCCUGGACAAGCCCAGAGAGCCUUCUGGCACUCAUGCGGUUUGCAGUCUGAGCUGCAAUCUCACGUGCCCAAUAGGUCAGUUGUGUCAAGAAACAGGAAGCUUUAUUUAUUUUUCCUUAGGCAACAACAUGUAUUUUCAGGGCAGCAGUUUGGAGUUCCUGUCCCCAUGCCAAGGGGACUGGCCCCUUCCAGGUGUGGGUCACCUUGGUUCCUAUUUGUGCACAUCUCCGACCUGAAGGACCCGGCCCUGGAGGAGACAUGGAAAUGCAGGGCUUGCUUUCAGGCCCCACUCCCAGCACGGAGUCCAGCACAGGGCUUGGAACUCACUACCCUGAGCUCAAGACCUGAGCUGAGAUCAAGAGUUAGACGCAUAACCAACCGUGCCACCCAGAUGCCCCAUGUUUGGGUGCCGUUCAGUCCUCAUGUCAUCUCUGCACCCAAUGGGCUCAAACCCACAACCCCUGAGAUCUCCAGAGUCGCAUGCUCCACCAGCUGAGCCAGCCAGACACCCCUAAAUAAACGUUUGAUAUUAUAUGUAUGUAAGGUACAUUUUAAGUAAAAUCAU